UCUGGAAUUCAGAUGUGUGCCCUUCCCAGAUCCUGGGCUUUUUUCUAAAGGCUGUAGGAAAGAAGUUCAUGGAGGAAUUCUUUUAAGUGCAAAGUGAUAAAUAACUGCCUCCAAGUCUCAAGAAAACACUUUUCU